CAGCUGAAGCAGAAGCAUGUGAGGGGAUGAUGGAGGAGGAGACACACCUGCAGCAGGGGCUAGCCCGGAAGAGGAGACUCAGUCACCCGGGGCCGGGGCUAGCCCGGAAGAGGAGACUCAGUCACCCGGGCCGGGGCUAGACCGGAAAAGGAUACUCAGUCACCCGGUGCAGGGGCUAGACCGGAAAAGGAGACUCACCCCGAGCAGGGGCUAGACCGGAAGAGGCCGGCUUUGGCUUCUAUCCGGUUCCUCCAACAACGCAGGCAUUACAGAGGAGUUAGUGCCGCGUGGAGGAGAGACCUCUGCAGUUACAUAGACCUCGGCUGUGUGAUCUUGGACAUUCUUAAAGCACCUUAGCCUGUUACCGGCACUGCAUAGCCUCCAAGUAAAGCAACCUCUUGAACUUUGUUUAAAACAGUAUUUUCUCAACACAGUUUGACAUGGUGGUUCCUGUUGUUUACAGAUCACUGGAAUUCAGAGAGAAUCAGACAUAUGAAACAAAGUUCAGGGAUGUAUGCUGCAGCUAAGCACUUGGAAGAGCGAGUCCGUGGAGAUUAGAUGCGGAAAAAGAAAAUGAAGGGAAGGCGAGAAAAUGGUAGCUGGAAGAGAGCGAGCGCUUGCAAUUUGCACCCCCUCCCGCCCCUCGAUGCAGGCAAUUCCUCGCACGCACCUGGCGGCGCGGGCCGAGCGGCUUCCGCGCGGCUAAUAUACAUAUUUCGAGGGGGAGGCUGGGCGGCUGCUUCUUCGCCGGGUCAAUGUGUUAAUUAAAAGUUGGUCCGAGUUGGUCAGCACGCAGUCCCAGAUGUGCUUAACAGCAUGCAAUUAACACAUAAGGCAAAUCUUUUUGAAGAUACCAGAAUUGAAAACCCCCCAAAGAAACCCCACCCCGCCCCCGCCUUUAACGUGAAAUAGCAAUGGCAAAUAAGGGAAAAGUCAUUAAAAGACGUAAUUAAAUGUGGGCCGCCGUUCUUGGAGGGGGUCGGGCUGGAAAAAAAAUUCCCUAAAUCUGUAUUU